rnacentral:rRNA from 1 species
UACGUAGGGGGCAGGCGUUAAUCGGAAUUACUGGGCGUAAAGCGUGCGCAGGCGGUGAUGUAAGACAGUUGUGAAAUCCCCGGGCUCAACCUGGGAACUGCAUCUGUGACUGCAUUGCUGGAGUGCGGCAGAGGGGGAUGGAAUUCCGCGUGUAGCAGUGAAAUGCGUAGAUAUGCGGAGGAACACCGAUGGCGAAGGCAAUCCCCUGGGCCUGCACUGACGCUCAUGCACGAAAGCGUGGGGAGCAAACAGG